AGAUGAAUCUGCCGAUUGCCCUUUCUAAUUCGUUGAAGAAUUGAGUUGGAAUUUUGAUGGGGAUGGCAUUGAAUCUGUAGAUUGCUUUUGGCAAGAUAGCUAUUUUUAUUAUAUUGAUCCUGCCAAUCCAUGAGCAUGGGAGAUCUUUCCAUCUUCUGAGAUCUUGUUUAAUUUCUUUCUUCAGAGACUUGAAGUUCUUGUCAUACAGAUCUUUCACUUCCUUAGUUAGAGUCACGCCUAGGUAUUUUAUAUUAUUUGUGGCUAUUGAGAAGG
rnacentral:lncRNA from 1 species